rnacentral:rRNA from 1 species
CGGGUGAGUAAUGUAUGGGGAUCUGCCUGAUGGCGGGGGAUAACUACUGGAAACGGUAGCUAAUACCGCAUAAUGUCUGCGGACCAAAGCGGGGGACCUCCGGGCCUCGCGCCAUCAGAUGAACCCAUAUGGGAUUAGCUAGUAGGUAAGGUAACGGCUUACCUAAGCGACGAUCCCUAGCUGGUCUGAGAGGAUGAUCAGCCACACUGGGACUGAGACACGGCCCAG